rnacentral:siRNA from 1 species
UAGGCCGCCACCGUAAUCCGC